CAUUAAAUCCUCCAUUUCCCGUAUCCAUUUUUUUUAAUCAGCUCAAUUCGCUGGCUUUGAGGCACAGCUGCAGAAUCUAAAAUUUAAACCUUUCAGAAGCCCUGACAUUUCUAGGUUCUUCCAGAGAAAGUGGACACAAAGAAGGACAUCCACAGAGUCACGGACGUAAACAUUGGUUUGGAACUGAAUGUUUUCUCCCUGUACUGCAUAUCUUCUAUUUAGAUCUCAGCGAAGGUUCACUCGGUGCACCCAGCAGCUUCCUUGUUGCAUUUUAUGGCCAAGUGAACCCACUGCAAACACAUUUAACCAAACAACUUAAAUGGAUUUGGCCAAAACCUUUUAGUCAAACACUCACACGCUGAUGGAAUGCAGCCGGCUAUUUAACCUGUAAACAGAGGAAUUACUUUAAGAGCUGCCGUGGACAGGCAGAGGCCGGGGGAGAAGGAAGAAAAGACGCCGGGCGAAACAUUGAUGCAUGCGCACGGCGAGACGAUCAUCUGGUAUGAAUAACUAAAUUAGAAAUAAGUCAGUAGAAGCUAGAGAGAUGACGAAUACUAGGAAAGAGAAGAAAAAAAAACAUGAUGAAUAAAAAAACCAAACCCCCCUGAUGAAAGCUCUGAAAAAGAGAUAGGAGAUGAAAAUAUUCUGGAGUCUUCGGCCCCCAUGAGGCCAGACAGCAAUUAGCGUGCCCGCUAUUUCUGCUUGACGAGUGAGCGCCCCCAUACAAAGCUGCUCUAAAAAUGGGGUGCUGGAAUCGAAUACACAAGACGAGGAGAGAUACAUUUUUUCUUAGCGUAUUUUCCAGUCCAGAUAAUAAACAUAAUAUUGCAUUGUCCUCUAAUUAUGAUGCCAGAAAUGUUGCAUAACGGCAAACACAUGGUUUGUUUUCUGAGUGCUCAUGGUAGAGAUCAUUCUACACAUGAUGGACCAUGGACAAAAUUAACCUAAAUUUGCAAAUAUCUAGGGCAGUUUUCAUUUUUUUCUCAAGUUUCUUUGAGCUCAAAAGAUUUUUUUUACCAGUUUACAAUUUUUUUACUGAUCAUUGAUUGAGUUUCCAUUUGAACCCUUCUAACAGAGCCACCUCCUGCCUUUUCUUUUCAAAGUGUGGUGCAGACUGUGCUUGACACUGCACACACAUGCAUCAGACACAUUGUAAUUAUUGAGGCAUUUUAAACACAGGGCUGGCUCAGCUGACGGAGAACAUCAAAGCCGAGGCUGGAGCUGAGUGACUGGUCCCGAGCACUGCAGAUUCACAUACCCGCUGCACACUCACUCAAAAAUGAUAACAGAACUGCCUCUACCUCAGACGAGAGCAGAGGCAAGCAAACAUGUUGGAAGAAGAAGAAGAAGAAGGGGGGGGGGGGAGUGAUGAGGCAGAGGGAUAGCCCCUCCUUACUGCUGUAAAAGCAGGAGGAAGAAAAAAAAAAAGAAACAGGAGGAAAAAAAAAAGAGAGGAAGAAAGGAAAUCGCAGCCAUACGGGCUGUGCUCCCCCAGCUGAACUGUAUCUGCAUUUUAACGGUGGGAAGAAGAGACGCUAUAUGGCGAGGUGCUCCUCCCUCCACCCUGCCAACCUCAUCUGUCAGCCAUUAGUUAAUCAGGGCUGGUAAUGCAGAGCGCACAGAGAGCUGGCACCGCUCGUGGGACCAGAGGACAGCUUCACCUCUGAGAGCAAAGAGAGGGCAAGGACUCAGGGACCUCUGCGGCACCGGGCUACAGCUGGGUGGCUUCACUCACCAGCACCCACUCAGUAUUAACGUCUUUGUCUAGGAUUGGACUGGCUGUAACUUCAACAUGACCCCACCCACCGCUUUGCCCGUGAACAGGUGAGCCAAUAGGACACGUGGAAACUUUUAGACAUCUAAGAGAAUCUCAACUAGCAUUUUAAGAUCUGUCACUCGGCCAAAAUGGCAAUCAAAGCAGCUCGUACAGCACAGAACCUCACAGAGAGAAGGUAAAUUCCACAAAACCAACACUUUGGCUCAGAUCAGAUCUGCUUUGUGUUGAAUGUGUUUUAUCACUGAUCACUUUAACCCUCGAGCAGUGUAUGGAAACACUCAUUACUGUAAGAACUAUAAUUAUGCUAUAAAAGUCUUUUUGGUUGGGGAUAACAUCAGAACUGAGUGUUGUUGUGAAAACAACAGUUUAUUUUGGGAGCUUGGCCAUCAAAAACCUUAUUAACAUCAUAAUUAAGUUUUGACAAACGUCAUAUUUUGCAAGAUCAGUGAUGAAGACAUUGUUUGCUUAACAUUUACGUCUAACAUGAUGGUUUAUUUCAUUUCAGCCUUCUUAAUUAAAAUUAUGCUUUUUUGCAAAAUAUUGAAAAUAAAUCUGCAAUUAGGAUUUAGCAAAGUUUGUAAUACACCAUAUAGGUUUAGAAAAGAGGAUGCAUUGUGAAGUACGAAUCAAAGGCUUCUAAGAGGCAAGUUAAGACCCCAAAUCAGACAGUUUUGGUGUGUUUUUUUUUCACACUUCGUGGAUCUAACUGAGGCCAUAUCUUAAAAUGUGAGAGCCAAGGUCGAAUUCCGAUCACAUUGCAGCACGUUUGCAAUGCAAGACGUUGGUAAUACCAAGCAUAUGGUAACUGUAGCUACAUGGACUCUUCAAAGGAGCUCAGUGCUGACCCGGAGCAAGAACAAACUUGCAUGAGUGUGAAGGGAGUGUAGAAUUAUACCCUGGGCUGCAUGUUGUCAAGGCUGAGAGAUACAUAGCCAAAAGAUAGCUGCUCUUUAUGUUUAACAAUGCUUGUGCAAAAUCAGCUUUUUUUUUUUUAUCUAGGGAUCAAACCCAGCAAAGGAGAAGGAGUAAUAUUUGGGAACAGAGUGCACUGUUUGAUAGCUUUAUUUCUUUUUUCAUAGCGUCAUCAUCAGUAUCACAAUGUUCUCUGGAUCAUAGAUUAAACUGCAAAUCAGAGAAAAAAGGAGACAUGAGGGAGGAGGGUGAAGGGUCUUGUAACAUUCAGGCUGCUUUCUCUGUUCAUAGGCUUGUUUUGCAGGGAGGAUUCAAAGACAGAAGUCAAAACAACACAUGUUGUCAACAUGGGAGCAGCUGGUAAGAGCGGCGUCAUGGGGCAGAGGAAUGUCAAGAGUCAUAGAUCUUUUAUCCAUCAGGCUGCAAUAACCACCCAGAAAGCACACUCAGAAGCAGUGUGAAAACUGUUUUUAUAUUUCAGACUCAUCUAAUGAUCAACUUAACCAGCUAACUUUAUCCUUAAACUCUAAACAAAAGAACAAAUUCAAUGAAACAUUAUGCAAGUAUGUAAGUGUAGUUUUAACAGUGAAGUGAUGCAUUUCAGAUGUGACAAGUUGGUUUUUCAAUUUUAUUCUCUGCAGGAUGGGACUGAUUGUAAUAUAUGGAAAUAAUUUCCUGUCUCUGUCACUUCAGUGCCUGACAGUCAGUCAGCUGCAGGAGCUGCAGCCCCUCUUCUGAUUGGCUAAAACUAAACAGCAUAUUCUGCACUCCAUGCCAAAGUUUGACUUUGCCAUCUUUAAAGCGGUAAAUAAACACUCAGUUGAGUAGGCAUAUACAGUUUCUCCAACAUGAUUUCCUUUUCAAGUCAACUGCACUCAGUAAAGAUACACCAAGCGACCAUAAGUCAAAACCAAAUGACAAAACAGCCAGGUUUUUUUUUUUCCGACUGUGUAAACAUUCCACUGAGAGCUUUUUCCGUGACUGUGUUCUACUGAAACCUGCAGCUCUGCUCACAUCAGUACGCUGCUGCAGGUGAGGAAGAUGAGGAACACGACAGAAAAGAAGGGGAAAAAAAGCAAAUUCUAAAUGACAGGUCUUGAAAAAUACAAACAGCAGCAGAGCCGUAACGUUAUAAAGUAUUGACCUUUGACAGAGGACAUUUAAACCUGACUUCCUCUUCCUGCUAAACGUUAAACAGCUGCUUUUCUAAUCUGUCAAAGUAAACAGCUUGUCCCAGCUUGCAUAUGGGGGGAAUAUGGAAAAGCUCAAGAGAGUGGAAGAUCAUGACCUCGCAUUUAUUUUUACAGAAAACAAAAGCAUAGAAAUGGUAACCAAACAAUGUAAGUAUAAUGAUAAAUUAUUUUUUAAUGGGAAAGAAGGAAACAGAGGAAAAUCUAAAAUUAUAUCCACAGGCAGAGGACUAUUUGUAAUAUAAAAUGUUUAAGUGUAAAUAUCAGACUUUUUCAAAAUGGUAAUGCGUUUCAAAUCUUACUUUGCAUUUUGAGAAACUUAAUAGAUAAAAAAAUAUUCUAUUAUAUUGGAAAAAACUGAAGCACAGCAAUGACUCUGAGGCUGUCUAAGACGCCCAUCACAAAGACAAGUUGUGGAUUUAAAAAAGACUUUACAAACAGGGCGGAUUCUUCUGUAGGCCUACAGAGUUCACAAUGGUGGACACUAGAACAAGAAAAGAUUCUGUCUUUAACAUUCCCCCUCUCUGACACUUAGAGGAGUCCUAAAUGCAUGAUGCACUGUUUAGUAAUGUAAUGCAAAAUACAGCAUUAUUAUGUCAUUUUAAUGAAUGACAAUGAAAAUUGGAUAGAAAGCUUCACUCAAUACUAAGAAUAGAAAAAUACAAGAAAAGUUACUACUGAAGACAAAACCCCAACACAAAAUGUCUUCCUAAAACACCUUUUUAAGAAAACUGCAUUUAAAAUAAUCCUUAAUAUUUAGAGCUUCAGUUUCUCAAAUAGGAGGAUUUGCUGGUUUUCUUUGUCUUACUUCUUUGGGAUUUAAACUCAUGGCAGAAAAAAACCCCAGAAUCUUACAUCGGACUUUGGAGAAAGUAAAAGGUUUCUUUGUUGGAUUUUUAGAAUGUUUAAAUAGUGCAACUGACAUCCUUGAAGUUCCGGACAUUUGCGGACCAGUUGCCCCGCUAACAUGAUCCAAAGAAUCAGGUCUGAUAGGUAGUAGCUAAUUAGCAGUUUAACAGCACAGGUACUCAAAUAGUACAAAACAAGUAGAGCUAAAUGUCUUAAGCAGUGUAGCAAAUACAUUACACACUAGAGCUUAAAAGAUGGACUGUUGAUUCCCUGAUUCUUAAACACCCAAUCUAUCACUGUCUAACCCUCAAGAGGGGAAAAAGGUUUUUGACUUGGAUGUCAUGUCCCCACAAACUCCUUUUCACUCCAUCACCUCGAUAGCAUCGACAGGCCCAAACAGGCACCGGCCCCAUCCAGUCUGAAGUGGUCGCCUCAUGUGAGGAAAAAAAAAAUACUCCAAGAGGCUUAAAACCACUUUGUAAUACUUGACCGACAAGCUGAGGAAAAGCAGGCCGUCUUUACCUGAGUCAAAGCGAGGACAUGUUCACUAUCAUUUGAUGAAACCAACCUAAAUGCUUCCAGACUUUCACGCCCUGUCUCCUCUUAUUUCAUCUCCCUGCAUCUGCAAGCAACUCAGAACACAAAAUAACAUGUAGCCUAAUGACACGGGCUCCUCUUUCUUCCAAUGCCCUGCAUAGAAAAUUCAAUUUAGUUUGGCGUCCAUGUCUUGAAAUGGCCUAAUGAACUCUUGAUUUAUCCAAUUGGCCUCAAUCUUGGUUAGCGUAAAGACCUAGAGAUGAACAUUUUGUCAGCUCUUGUACAAUCCUAAAUAAAAUGUCCUCUAAAUUGUGUGACAAAUGAAGUUCUGUUCUGAGGGGCUAAGUAUAGUUUAACAGUCAUUAAACUUGGAUCGUGUAUCCCAAUUGGGGGGAUUAGGACUUCAAUAUGGAGUUUAGAUUUUGGCAAAGCUAACUGGCCUCAAGGCGCCCCCUACAAAAAACAAAACAAACAUAAUGUCCCAGUUUAUUUAACCAUGAUUUACAGAGUUAAAUCCCCAAAUGUAUCAUAUUAAGCCUAACAGAAAAGCCUCCUCGACCAAACAAGAAGUAUGGGGUUAUGAAUUCUUUUGAGAGGAUCAUUGUAGUUUUAGCCAUGAACAGUGGUCAUACUUUAACAAAACUUCAUCUACAGUGUUUUAAGUCCAUAUAAAACUUGAUUUACUUGGAGAAAAACUACUUUAACUACUUCCUAAGGUGCAAUUAUUUCAUUAGUAUGUUUAUGUAAGUGCUGACAUAGACAACCUAUAUUAGAAUGUGCAGAGUGCUGAACUUAUUUUCCUGCCAGCCAACAACUUGACCCAAAAGAGACUCCCAUUCUCCCAAAUAUAGUAAAUCUUCAUAUAACAUCUCACACCAUCUGGUUUUCUGCUUUCCAAGUCUUAAUGGUUUGCUAAAAUCUGCGGCCCACAGCGCUUGACUUUUAACCAGCAAAUCAUCAACUCAAUUUUGCUUUGCUUGCUUUUUUUCCUCAAAGGCCAGAAUGAAACAUUAUCUCACGACUCAGAUUAAGAUUAGAACCAUUCCUUGAAAGGACCAACAGGGGGGGAGAAGAACCUUCCAGCGCUCGGUUCAAUUGCUAACACUCCACUGGCAUAUGGGCAGGAUCACGAAACACAAGCCCAAUGAUGUCACGACCGAGUGACCCCAGGGUGACAGGUUUGGAGAAUGUUCGUGCCCACUGCCCUCAGGCCAGUGUCAAGUAUGUCAAUGUUGUGCAUGUGGAUUUCAUUUCAAGCAGCAUGAUUAGUUCACAGACACUCGACUGUGAUCCCCCUCCAUGGGAAAGCCGCUCUGGACAGGAAACGGUAUGUUUUUGUUAGCAACAAACAGGCAUAAAUUACUCAAAUGGUGCCCUGGUUGCUAAUUCAUCACACACAGCCUUAUUAUUUCUGCUUUUUCACAUUUGACAUCAACAUUGCUUUUAAGGAAAUCACCUUUAGGUAAUGAUAUUUACAUUCCUGAUAGUGUGUGUUGAACUCUGUGCCUGCAAUGCUUCAUUUGUGCAAUAAAUCUGAUAAUUGUU